rnacentral:lncRNA from 1 species
GAAAAGGAGGUGUGAAAAUUAAAUCUGCUGCCAGAAACUCUUGAAAACCAACCUCGAGGUUGGAAUGGACCUAUGUGCAUUGCUGAACAAGGACAUGCCUCUUGUUCUUUCCCACUUGGGAGUUUGUAUCUAGUUCCAGCUCUCAUCUACCACAAAGAAGCAUUACUCAUGUGAGUGCUCCUACAAUUGCUUGCAGAGACAUAACAUUGGCCUUCACUGAUAAUUGUAGCCAUAAAGCAUUUGCCUUUUCCAUCAAAGAAUAAAAGAUAAUGUUCAAGAUCUUCAUUAUCCUGUAUUCUGCAUUAAAAUUUCUUUCCUCUGGAAAAUGCCUGCCUCCAAAUCACUGGCUGAUUUGAAAUUCAUAAGAAUUUUGUUAUGAUAGAAAUGUUAAAUUGGACAAAAGUGUUCAGAAUAGCUUGUUUUUUCUCACUUGUAUUUUCAUGGCAGAGGAUAUACAUUUUUUUUUCCUACAAGGAAUAUUUGUAGUAAUUUUACCUAAGAAUCCUACAUGCUAAUUGUAUUAGACAGACUAUAUCUCUAGCAUUGUCAUUCCAUUAGAGAUUUUGCAAUAAAUCUUAAUGAUACAUGCAAAUACACCAAUCUAAUGGUCCAUUAUAAAAGAAAUGACUGACUGUUACCAUUUGUUUCCAGGAAUUAUCUUAUUUCUCAACUCCUGCUGGUAAAAAUUUCCAGGAGGCAGGGAACUCAAUAUAUAUAUAUAUUUUUUAACAGCAAGGCAGAUCAGAGUGAAAAGGGAAGACUAAGAAAAAGUAUCGCUCUUUUCUUGGAUCUGCAUUAAAAUUUUAUAAACUUUCAUAACCUGGCAUACUUUUCAGCUUUUUGAUUUGAAAACCACCUAAAAGUAGUUAUAUGUUGAUAUUUUUCUUUUAUUUACCUUGCUUUGGCACAUGGUUUUUUUUUUUUUUUUUUUUUUUUUUUUUUUUUUUUGGUCACCCCUGUGGCAUGCAGAAGUUCCCAGGCCAUGGAUUGAACCCACACCAUAGCAGUGACCCAAGCCACAGUAGUUGGGUCCUUAACCCACUGAGCCACCAGGGAACUCUGUCCCUUCAUCUAAUGCUGGACAUUUAGGUUGCUUCCAGGUCUUGGCUAUUAUAAAUAUUGCCGCUAUUAACACUGGGUUUGUGUAUCUUUUCAAAUUAGUUUUUGUCUUUUCUGGUUGUGUGCCCAGGAGUGAGAUUGUUGAAUCAUAUGGCAACUCUAUUUAUAGUUUUUUAAGGAACCUCCAUACUGUUUUUCCACAGUGGCUACACCAGUUUACAUUCCCACCAGUGGUGUGGGGGUGUUCCCUUUUCUCCACACCCUCUCCAGCAUUUAUUGUCUGUAGACUUUUUGAUGAUGGCCAUUCUGACUGGUGUGAAGUGUUACCUCAUUGUAGUUUUGAUUUGCGUUUCACUAAUAAUUAGUGAUCUUGAACAUCUUUUCAGGUGCAUGUUGGCCAUCUGUGUGUUUUUGGAGAAAUAUCAGUUUAGGUCUUAGGCCCAUUUUUUUGAUUGGAUUGUUUGCUUCUUUUGAUUUUGAGCUGUUUGUAUAUUUUGGAAAUAAAGCCCUUGUUGGUUACAUUAUUUGCAAAUAUUUUCUCCCAUUCUGUAGGUUGUCUUUUUGUUUUGUUUAUGAUUUCCUUUGCUAUGCAAAAACUUUUAAGUUUAAUUAGGUUCCAUUUGUUUAUUUUUGCUUUUAUUUCCCUUACCCUAGGAGAAG